GAGGACCUGGGGGGUGGGGUGCUUGCUUUGGUAGCAGAGGCUGGUCCUCAGCUCCCUGACCUGACCAGCCCAGGGAACAUCCCGACACAGGCAGGCUUUCCCCACAGCGGGGCCACCCACCCUCCCCGUGAGCCGCAGAGAUCCAUGAGCCAGGGAGGCCCCGACUGCUGCCAGCCGCCCCUGCAGCUGUGCCCCUUCUUGGUCAGAGGACACUGGGCUCCCACCCAUCCUGGGGACUUCCUGCUCUUGCCUGUUUGUGGCCAAGGGAGGGAGGGUCUUCACAAAGCCCCUGAGCGGGCUCCCUCAGCCCCCAGGCCCCACCCGGCCUCUCACCCAGCGCAGCCUCCCCACUGCAACUCCUGGAGCCUCCUCCCGACCACUCACGGUCGGUCCUGCGGGGUCUCCCAGCAGCAGCUGGUGGGGCACACCCUCCGGGAGGGGUUAUUUCUAGCUUUUGGGAGAGGAAUGAGAAGCACACGCCUCCCGUCCGGCGUCCCCACCCCCAGCUGGGAGCGCUGGGCCUCCUCGCCAGCCACGGUCUCCGGGGCUCCGGCAGCUGCUCCAGCCCAUCCUCCCCACCGUGGCUGGGGCCCGAUCCCACCCUGACCACUCCGGUGGCCUCAAGCUGCCCCUGCCCUGCAAGGGUCUCAGGCGGAGGGAAGGAGGUUAAGACGGGGGCAGGACUGACGGACAGAAAUAAAGAAUGGCAGGAGAAAGCAACACUAAGGCAGAUGAUGGCCUGUGGGGCGGAGACGGGACUGAUUCCUCAAGGAUUCAUGUGCCGCAGAGGCCCAGAAGCAACGACAGCUCAGAGCCACAAGCACCAGGCCAGUGACAGCUCUGAACCCCACGCCCAGGGCUGGGGCAGGAAAUACAUGGACACCUGGUCACACCAGAGAGCAGGACGCUAACGAACGACAGGUGUCACACUCAAAGGACACGGGAGCCACACUGCCCAACGAGGACGGCACACCGAGAAUACACAGACCCUAAAAACAAAGACAGAAAAACACCUCUGUAGCCAUCUUUGGGGUUUUCCAAGGCACCAGCUUGUUAUUUAAAAAAUCAACAAAUGAAAGGAAAGAAUCAAAGUAUUUAUCACACCUCUCCUGUAUAAAAUCUUAUUUUAGGAUUAAAAAAAUAGCUGAUAAAGAAAAUUUCUUCCUUACAGAAAGGUCAGUAGAAUAACUAAAAGCAACAGAUGUAGAAGGAGUAACUGAAGCAUUCUUCCUUAGAGCAGUAAUCGAGGAAAUACUGAAAAAGAAAGGCAGUCUUGAUCAAAAUCCUAAAGCUGGUUACUUGAAAAGUCCGUUCAAAUACACAGGACUUUGGUGAGUAUGAUGAAAAGGAAGAGGCCACAGAAAUCAGAUCAAAAAGGUGACAGGACCACAGAAGAGAAGAGGCGGAGGAGAGAGAACAUCCCCAACCUUGCACCAACGUGCUGAGCACUACAGCGAGGAGGCGUCCUGGAAAGCGCACAGCGGCCCCCGAGGCCCUCCAGCCGGAGACCGGCCACCAGGGCUGUCCGCUGUACAGGAGCCCCCAGGGGCUGCGGCCCACGAGCAAGACAGGCAGGUACUGACGACAGUCCGCCCCACACCGUGCAGAGCGCCGCGGAGGAGGGGCAGGGCGCGGGCUGACGCGAAGGUGGGUCUGCAGAAUCCAAUCAAAGUUCGGGGAAAUGGCUGCAAACUCUGAUUCCUACAGGGGUCGAACGGGUCAAUGCAGAUGAGUCAGGUGGGCCGAGGUUAAGAGAAAUGGGGGUGGGGGGACGAAUGGUGUAACCCCUUUUCCUUUCAAGCACCAAGCCAGCCAGAGGAAACCUGUGCGCUGAGCCUCAACCCCAGUUGGCACAGGGCUGUAAAAACCAUCAAUGAAGGGACUUCAGAAAACUCAACACCCACUUCAGAGAAUAAUUCUUACAGGUUAUAAAUGGAAACAGCCCUCCAUAUUAAAAAAAAAAUGUUAUAUAAACUACAGCCUGGAAGUCGGCACAAGGGAAGGCCACUGGCCACCACCACCACCGGGUCCCGGGGGGACGGAGGGGCCUGACCUCCCAGGAAAAGGGGACCCGCAGCCACCAAUCGGGCCGCACGCAGGGCUUCCGCUAGGGGAUGAAAGAAAGUCACUGACGAGAAUAAGGAAACGAGCAACCUAUGAAUGUGCUUGGGGAAAACUUACACAGUCAGAGAUCAAAGCUAAUCCCUGAGUCCCAACCUAACUUUUGUUAGGGAACUUGGCAGGUCCAUUUAGGAAACACAUGAAAACAGACUAAAACUUUUCAAAAGAAGAAAAAAAAAGUGGGUGACUUCACCGGUUAGGUCUUGAAACACAGUCUAAAGUGGCUAUACUGAGGACAGCAGCAUUGGCCCAAGAGCGCGUCCGGCUCCCCAGGGCCCCAUCCUGGGCCACAGGAAUGCGGAUCUGACCCACAAGGAAGUCAGAUUUCCCCAAAUCAGUGGGAGAAUGACAGACGUUUUAGUGCAUACCAUUGGGACAAAAGAUCCAUUUGCUUGAAAAGCAAUUCCAGGUGGAUUACAGAGCUGUAUGUUUUCUAAAAAAGUGCUUUGACAAUCUUGCAACAGAGAAGGUUUUCCUAAGCAAAAACCAAACCCAGAGCUCAUAAAGAAGUUUGGAAGACUUAAUUCAUAGAAGUCUCCAUUUCUGUAACCCCAGAGAGGCCAUUCCUAAACAGCAAAAGACAAAACCACUCAUGCCCCAUGUAAUAAAAGACUGAAACUUACAACACAAAGGAGAAACUGCAAGUUACAGGAGUUACAUGAAUUAGUGACUAAAGACAAACUCCCAAAAGGAAAAGGACGAGAAAACGAGAUGGCACUGCCUGCCAGAUCCCACAGAAACAGAAGCUGGUGCUGCCUGAGGCUGGGAGGGGGUGGGAGACAGGGCAAGCCUGUGGCCUCUGGCCCAGCACCCACUCUUCCAGGACUCUCUCCUGCAGAAACUCCCCCCCGAAGCAUAAAGAUGGGCUCCUGGGCGCUCUGGCUGGUAACACAGCACAGAUACAGCAACACUGGAGAGAAGGCCAGAUGCAGGAAGUCAAAGAACAACCAGCAGAACACAGUGAAGGCCCCCUGUAAAGUCUGGAACACACCAGCCCCUACCCUUUACCAUGAAGCUGUAUUUAUUCUCUUUCUUUGUACAAAAAGCUUUAAAAUAAGUAAACGUACGGAC